rnacentral:lncRNA from 1 species
CGGAGACAAAAACACAGGCGGGAGAGAGACAUUGAGUUAAUAUUGAGUUGUUGUCCACCAUCCAUCCUCUAGGCCCACGUGGACAGAGAGAGGAGGGAGAUUGACUCUGUGUUCAAAGCAGUGAUAGCAACUGUAGAGGAGACCCAUCUAGAUGCUCUCAGGCCCAUGGAGGAGAGGCAGCAGGAGGUGGAGAGAGAGGCAGGAGAACUCACCCAGGAGCUGAAGAGAGAGAUCAGAGAACUGAAAGAAACCAUUGGUCAAUUGGAGGAUGUUGCUGACCUCAAGGAUCACAUUCACUUCCUGCAGACUUUCCCAUCCCUGUCGGGGCUGGGUGAUGGCAGAGACUGGACUGAGGCCUCCAUUGAUACUACACUCUCCUUUGGCACCAUGAGAAGCAGCUGGUCGACCAUGAUGGAGAGAAUCAAGCACGAGCUGGAGAAGCUCUCCUCAGUUGGUAAAGGAAUGAGACAAUAUAAAUUGUACUAAAAAUCAUACAGUUGAAGUCGGAAGU